GCAUGUCUAAGUGUAAAUAUUUUACAGUGAAACUGCGAAGAGCUCAUUACAACAGUUAUGGUUUGCUUGAAGUAUUUCCACCGGAUAACUGUGGAAAUCCUACAGCUAAUACGUAGCAGCUUCUUUUGAAGUGUUGCAUAUUAGUUUGGGCUGAUUGCGGCUUGCCGUAAUUAUUUGAACAAUUGUAUGCACAAAUCGGUUCUUCCGAGAGUUCAUCAAAGUUUCUGACCUAUCAGGUUCCGACGGUAGGGUAUUGGCUUACCGUGCCUAUGACGGGUAACGGGGGAUGAGGGUUCGAUCCCGGAGAGGGAGCUUGAGAGAUAGCUACCACAUCUAAGGAAGGCAGCAGGCGCGCAAAUUACCUAUCCCUGACACAGGGAGGUAGUAAACAGAAAUAAUGACGCAUGAUUAUUCGUGCGAUUGGAAUGAAUAGCACUUAAACGUUGCUAUGAAAUCGAUUGGAGGGCAAGUCUGGUGCCAGCAGCCGCGGUAAUUCCAGCUCCAAUAGCGUAUAUUAAAGUUGUUGCAGUUAAAACGUUCGUAGUCGAACUUAGUUUGCUUCAGCAGAGCAUGUAUUCAUUAUACAUCUUUGCCUUUAGCGGAGAUGAUAUAGUUUCAUACACAUGCUUCAUGUGGUGGAUCUAUAUGUUACUUUGAGUGAAUCGGCGUGCUCAACGCAGGCGUUUGCCUUGAACGAUUUACCAUAGUAUAAACAGAUUAUAAGAGCAUUUUUUUAUCAGUUCGAAAAUGCUUUUUAUAAAGAAAGGAACGGCUGGGGGCAUUCGUAUUCAAUUGCCAGAGGUGAAAUUCUUUGACUAGUUGAGGACGAACCACUGCGAAAGCAUCUGCCAAGGACGUUUCCUUUGAUCAAGAACGAAAGUUAGGUGAUCGAAGAUGAUUAGAUACCGUCGUAGUCCUGACUAUAAACUAUGCUAUCCAAGAAUUGGAUUGGUGAUUUAAUGCUCUUCCAGUACUUUAUGAGAAAUCAUAAGUCUCUGAGUUCUGGGGGGAGUAUAGUUGCAAGGCUGAAACUUAAAGGAAUUGACGGAAGGGCACCACCAGGAGUGGAGCUUGCGGCUUAAUUUGACUCAACACGGGAAAACUUACCAGGACAAGACAUAAGAAGGAUUGACAGAUUGAUCGCUCUUUCUUGAUGUUAUGGGUGGUGGUGCAUGGCCGUUCUUAGUUCGUGGAGUAAUCUGUCAGGUCAAUUCCGAUAACGAACGAGACCUUAUCUUACUAAUUGGAGAAACUGAAAUGUAACAGUUGUCUUCCAUUAGAAGGACUCUAUGUGUUUAACAUAAGGAAGUUUGAGGCAAUAACAGGUCUGUGAUGCCCUUAGAUGUUCUGGGCAGCACGCGUGCUACAUUGGUGCAUAUACUGUGUCUCGUAAUUCGAAAGGAUUGCGGAAUCAUCAAUAUGCAUCAACACUGGGAUUGCUUGUUGUAAUGUCAAGCAUGAACGAGGAAUUCCUAGUAAGCGCGUAUCAUUAAUUCGUGUUGAUUAUGUCCCUGCCCUUUGUACACACCGCCUGUCGCACCUAUCGAUUAGGUAACAUGGUGAAUACAAUGGAGAUGAUGUUGAGAAUUUCAUUUCUUAAAUGUUGUUAAAAUUGCGUAAACC
rnacentral:rRNA from 1 species